rnacentral:rRNA from 1 species
AUUGAACGCUGGCGGCAUGCCUUACACAUGCAAGUCGAACGGCAGCGCGGGGCAACCUGGCGGCGAGUGGCGAACGGGUGAGUAAUAUAUCGGAACAUACCCUAGAGUGGGGAUAACGUAGCGAAGUUACGCUAAUACCGCAUACGCACUAAGGUGGAAAGUGGGGGAUUCGCAAGAACCUCAUGCUCAUGGAGUGGCCGAUAUCUGAUUAGCUAGUUGGUGAAGUAAAGGCUCACCAAGGCAACGAUCAGUAGCUGGUUUGAGAGAACGACCAGCCACACUGGAACUGAGACACGGUCCAGACUCCUACGGGAGGCAGCAGUGGGGAAUUUUGGACAAUGGGGGCAACCCGUGAUCCAGCAAUGCCGCGUGAGUGAAGAAGGCCUUCGGGUUGUAAG